rnacentral:lncRNA from 1 species
ACAAAAAGUAAACAAAAAUAAAUAAAUACAACAUAAAUUAAAUGUGGCUGGGCAUGGUUUACAUAGUAAGUGCCAGGCCAACCAAGGCUCCAUAGUGAGAUCCUGUCUCAAAAAAAAAAAAAAAAAAAAAAAGAUACUCCAGAGUAAAAGAACCAUCCAACCAUCCCUAACUCCCCAAAUCAAACCAACAACAACAAAAAUAAAUCUUAAAAAAAACUUUAAAAUGAUUUUAUUUGUAUUUUAUGCACAUUGUUAUUUUGCUUGUAUGUCUAUGUGAAGGCGUUAGAUCCCCUGGAAUUAUAAACAGUUGAGCUGCAAUGUGGUUGCUGGGAAUUGAACCCAGGACUUCUGGAAGAACAGCUGGUACUCUCAACCCCUGAGCCAUCUCUCCAUUCCAUAUAAAUGAAAAGACUUUUAUUUUAUGUAUUUGAGUACAUUGUCACUGUCUUCAGAUAGAGCAGAAAGGGGUAUCAGAUCUCUGGAUGGUUGUGAGCCACCAUGUGGUUGCUGGGAAUCCAACUCAGGACCUCUGGAAGAGUAGUCAGUGGUCUUAACCACUGAGCCAUCUCUCCAGCCCCAAAUGAAAAGACUUUUACUUUGCAAAUAUUUGUAAUGGAAUAGAGCUGGAUUCUCAUAACUGCUUGUGAACUCAAUCUGUUGUGGAUAUGUUUUUUAAAAUAUAUCUAUUUAUCUUAUUUUAUUUAUGUGCACGUGUGUGUGUGUGUGUGUGCAUGUGUGUGUGUCUGUGUGUGUGUGUGUCUGUGUGUGUGUGUGUGUGCAUGUGUGUGUCUCUGUGUGCGUGUGUGUGUGCAGUUACAGGUGGAUGUGAACCAUCAGAAGGGACAGGGAACCCAGCCUGGGUCAUCUACGAGAGGAAUAAGUGUUCUUAGCCGUUGAUCUGUCCUUCCAGCUCCCCAGCUCCACGGUGUUAUUUUGGUGAUGAAAAAUAUAUAUGGAGAAAAUCUGACUUCAGACUGGUCUGUUAUGGGAGGGAAAAGAGGAUUUGUGCACAUGUCUGUUUUAAUCUCUUUUUUUUUUCCCCUUUAGACAGGGUUUCAUUAUAUAGAUCAAGCAGCCCUUGAACUCAUAGAAAUUUACCUGCCUCUGCCUUCUGGGUGCUAGGAUUAAAGGUAAACACCUGGCUGGUAAGAGGAUUUUAAUAACUUCUUGAAAUCUUGUGACUAGUUCUUUGGUACUAAGCCAAAUUCACAACUACAGCUUUUUCUUUUCUUUUUUAUUUUUUUUUUUUAUUUUUUUUUAUUUUUUUUUUUUUUUCGGUUUUUCGAGACAGGGUUUCUCUGUAUAGCCCUGGCUGUCCUGGAGCUCACUUUGUAGACCAGGCUGGCCUCGAACUCAGAAAUCCGCCUGCCUCUGCCUCCCGAGUGCUGGGAUUAAAGGCGUGCGCCACCACGCCCGGCUUUCUUUUCUUUUUUAAACAUGUACUUUUUGAUUAUUUGGAAAAUUCCCAUUAUGCAUCCUGACCACUUAUUUCCCAGUCCUCCCCGGUCCACUCUCUCUCGUGACUUUCUCUAAAACAAAGAAGAAAAGAAAAAGAAAAAGAAAAUACCAAGUGCAAUUUGUGUUGCCCAUAUUCUCACCACAGCACGGUCAAACUCCCAGUGGUCGGCCCCUUUAAGAAAACGGUGUCCUUCCGUCCCCGACUCCUGCCAGAAGCCAUCAGCUGGAAGAGCUACACUUCAGCAUCCCUAUCACAACCUGGUUUUUUUUAAGAUUCAUUUAUUUUAUGUGCAUCUGUGUUUUGCCUUUUAUGUAUGUCUGUGUGAGGGUUCCAGAUAUCCUAGAACUGGAGUUAUCGGCAGUUGUGAGCUGCCAUGUGGGUUCCCAGAAUUGAACCCAAAUUCUCUGAAAGAGCAGCCAAUGCUCUUAACCACUGAGCGAUCUUUCCCUGACUCCCCACUCCAUAUCAUAACUUUUUUUGUUGUUGUUAAUUUUUGAGACAGGGUCUCACUAUAGCCCUGGCUGUCCUGGAACUCACUCUGUAGACCAGGCUGGCAGUGAACUCAGAGAUUUGUCUGCCUCCGGAGUGCUGGGAUUGCGAGUGUGUGAUUUCACUUGGGUAGGGGGCAAGGUGUGUGUGUAAUAUACAAAAUAACGGGAAUGAAGUGGGCCAACCCCUCCAGAAUAACUCUCCUAUUCAUUGUACUUUUGCUUCCACCCAUGUGCCACCGCCUCCCAGCUCCCUUUUUAGAGUUUUUUUUUUUUCCAAUGACUUUCUGUCCAGACUUUCUUUUUAGGGGAUUGGAGGAUGGGAAGUGGGGGUGGGGGAGAGAAGCAGUCACAGAGGUCUUCUAUGUCUCUCAUUCUCAACUGUGAGUCUGCAAUCAUCAAUACCACUGCAAAAGAAGCAUGCUUGCCCUUUACAGUCAGCAGCAGCAAGGAUCAUGGACGUCCACAUGGUUUCUGGCUACAGCACGGGCCGCAGACAGACCAUGGACAUUCCCAAGGCCUUUGGUGGUAACAAGGACCAUGAGCAUCAACCCCAGGGGCAGCACAGCUCACUGUCACCAACGUGGCUUCGGGCAGCAGCUCAGAUCUCCACAUCCACCUGGCCUUCAGUGGUAACUCUCGCAACUGGCAAUUUCUUAAAGAGACAAGUCUCUUAUGUAGUGAGACCUCAAAUCCACAGAAAACCUCUGACUCCCAAGUGUUGGGAUUAAAGGUGGGUGCACAGAUAGAUACUAUAAAUCAUCCAGUGGUCUGUUUUGUGCUGAGAAAAGAACCUAGUUCCUUCCGCAUGCAUACGAGCAAAGUUCUACCUCUGAGCUAAGCCCCAAAGCACAGGAGUGGGCUCGCACUCAGCGCCCCUUUCAGUAGUUCCUGUAACUUUGAGUACGAGCU